rnacentral:rRNA from 1 species
CCGGCGAGUGGCGCACCGGUGCGUAACGAGUAUGCAAUCUACCUGUAACUGGGGAACCCCUUCCGAGAGGAAGAUUAAUACCACAUAAUAUCCUGAAGUGGCAUCAUUUUAUGAUCAAAACCCCGGCGGUUACCGAUGAGCAUGCGUGACAUUAGCUAGUUGGUGAGGUAACGGCUCACCAAGGCUACCAUGUCUAGGGGGUCUGAGAGGAUGAUCCCCCACACUGGUACUGAGACCCGGACCAAACUCCUACGGGAGGCAGCAGUAAGGAAUAUUGGACAAUGGCCGCUAGGCUGAUCCAGCCCUGCCCCGUGCAGGAUGACGGCGCUCUGCAUUGUAAACUGCUUUUGUUCGGGAAUAAACCCUUUCACGUGUGAAAGGUUGAAUGUACCGAAAGAAUAAGGGACGGCUAACUUCCUG